GCGUAAAGGGUCCGCAGGGUGGCAUUGUAAGUCUGCUGUUACAGAGUUUGGCUCAACCAAAUAAGAGCAGUGGAAACUACAAAGCUAGAGUGUGGUCGGGGCAGAGGGAAUUCCUGGUGUAGCGGUGAAAUGCGUAGAUAUCAGGAAGAACACCAGUGGCGAAGGCGCUCUGCUAGGCCGAGACUGACACUGAGGGACGAAAGCUAGGGGAGCGAAUGGGAUUAGAUACCCCAGUAGUCCUAGCCGUAAACGAUGGAUACUAGGCGUAGCUCGUAUCGACCCGAGCUGUGCCGGAGCUAACGCGUUAAGUAUCCCGCCUGGGGAGUACGCAGGCAACUGUGAAACUCAAAGGAAUUGACGGGGGCCCGCACAAGCGGUGGAGUAUGUGGUUUAAUUCGAUGCAACGCGAAGAACCUUACCAAGGCUUGACAUGUCACGAAUCCUAUUGAAAGAUGGGAGUGCCUUCGGGAGCGUGAACACAGGUGGUGCAUGGCUGUCGUCAGCU
rnacentral:rRNA from 1 species